rnacentral:lncRNA from 1 species
CAUGUAUCUCAUACAUACAUUGCAACACAUGUGUACCCUACGGGUACGCAAAAUUAGACUACAUUUGGGCUUUCUUCUUGAGUUGGGACUUUUGAGGCAAGUCAUUCUGACCCUUAAGAUUUUUGACACCUUCUAGUGUUGUUUCUUCCUAGGCCAAGAACUCUGUUUGAUGGAUUUUGUCUUGAUGUUUGAUACUUGGUUAGGAAUAGAGUAACUUAGAGUAUUGUUACCUCACAAUUGCUUUCUCUCAUUUCCCGGAAGCUCAUCU